rnacentral:rRNA from 1 species
UACGUAGGGUGCGAGCGUUAAUCGGAAUUACUGGGCGUAAAGGGUGCGCAGGCGGAUAUACAAGUUAGGUGUGAAAUACCUGGGCUCAACCUAGGAACUGCAUUUAAGACUGUAUAUCUAGAGUUAUGUAGAGGCGGGUAGAAUUCCAAAGUGUAGCAGUGAAAUGCGUAGAGAUUUGGAGGAAUACCGAUGGCGAAAGCAGCCCGCUGGAUAAUAACUGACGCUCAGGCACG